rnacentral:ncRNA from 1 species
UUCUUCGGGGCAGGGUGUAAUUCCCGACCGGCGGUUAUAGUCCGCGACCGAGUGUGAAAACUCGCUGAUUUGGUGAAAUUCCAAAACCGACAGUAAAGUCUGGAUGAGAGAAGAA